rnacentral:ncRNA from 1 species
UUGAGCGGUAUGAUAGGAAACUGUCACGUACCGUUCUUCGGCGAGGUGAGAGAGGCGACUUUCAAACCUUACCCGAU